rnacentral:rRNA from 1 species
GCUGGCGGCAUGCCUAACACAUGCAAGUCGAACGGUAGCAGGUCCUUCGGGAUGCUGACGAGUGGCGGACGGGUGCGUAACGCGUGGGAAUCUGCCCAAUAGUGGGGGAUAACCCGGGGAAACUCGGGCUAAUACCGCAUACUCCCUACGGGGGAAAGCGGGGGACCGUAAGGCCUCGCGCUAUUGGAUGAGCCCGCGUCCGAUUAGCUUGUUGGUGGGGUAAAGGCCUACCAAGGCGACGAUCGGUAGCUGGUCUGAGAGGACGACCAGCCACACUGGGACUGAGACACGGCCCAGACUCCUACGGGAGGCAGCAGUGGGGAAUAUUGGACAAUGGGGGAAACCCUGAUCCAGCAAUGCCGCGUGUGUGAAGAAGGCCUGUGGGUUGU